UUUAAAAACUACUUAAAAUAUUUAAAAGGAGAAGCUCACAAACAUAAACUAUAAGUGAAUCACAGUUGUAGGCAACAUGUCUGACAUUGAAAUAGGAAAUGUGCAAUUGAACAGAACCUGAAAGAUUCCAGAGCUGAGAGAUGGAUUUAAAGUUUGGCACUGGUUUGAAGGUCAAAAGCUCCCACAGAAAACAAUACAAGAUCUUAUGGAGCACGCACCUGCUUUCACUGAGGUCUAACCUACAUGGACCCAUUUUGCUACCCCUUCUCUUCUGAUCACCUGGGGGAUGGGUCUGCAUCCCCACACUGACAUGGCCUGUCACUGCAGUCGAAAGAAGCUCCCUGGCUCUCUAGCCCUUAAAGUGGCACACGCCUCUCCCAAGAAGUCAGACAACAACAGCUCCCACCACAUAACGUGCAUUGAGGUCAUUACCAGAUGCCCAGAGAGACCUUCGGGAGAAUUAACUGUAAUCUUGUAGCAAGGAAAUAUAAAUGUAUUACAGGCAUGCUGUCAAAAUGUAAACAUUGCUCCACUCUGAACGCACAUCUGUGGAUUGAUUUAGGGUUUUUUUAAUAUUGUAAUUUAUUUAAUGUCUUGUCGAGUUCAAGAGUCUGUGCCAAUGUCACUUGUUUUAAAGAUUAAUUUUC